UACCCCUGGGUGAACGAAGCUAUUUUUGUUGAUGCAUUUGCAUAAUUCAUAAUAACGAGUUGGCAACCCUGUUGGUAUUCUUCUUAAUCAUAUGACUCAGUCUGAAUUUGCAUUCACUAAUCACUAUUCAACCGCUGACAGUUGCUGAUCAUUGUUGGAAUGACGAGUUGUGCGCCAUUGCGUCAUUAAAAUGUAAUAACAAAUUUAAACCAGUUGAAACAAUUGUUUGAAAUGGUCAAGUGAUGAUUCUCCAUGGUUCCUGAAAUUAAAAAGGUUGACAACAUUGCUUGAACUAGGGCGAACUGAUGACCAUAGAUGAAGACUAGUAAGCGGAUAGUUACAUCCUGUAUGCAGAUCAUGAGAUGUGCCACACUGUGUUCUGGAAGUCCUGAGAAGUGCCCUCUUUGCUAGUAUGCAUUGUGUCCUGCAAACAAAGACAGGUGCUGAAAGGUGGUUACAAGUUGCAUGACGUGUCUUCCGCGGUGUUUUACUAGAUCGCCGAACUUGGUGUUUGCGUAUAUGCCGGUCGGAGGCCUUCGUGAUUUGGUGUGGACUGGUUCGUAGUUGGACUACUUGCCGUGUCUUUGUAAAGGGUGGACUGGUGUCAUUCUGCUGUCCGAUGUUCUCUCGCGAUACGUAAAUCGAUAUAUCUACCAUGCCUGAUGUAUGAGCAGUAUUGCGUUUCGUGGACGUCAAUGAUGUGGAAGGCGUUUUCUUCUGUUGGCUUCAUUUGAAUUUAUCAUUCCCUGCACUUCUGUCAAACAUUAGUUGCUGAUGAAUACCGACCGUUGAUAGCUGCUUGGUACUGGCGAUCAACUUUCGCAGUUGUAAUUUGCUUCACAUCUAUCAUCUUUUCAUUUACUCAAUGUUGCUAAUCUUUGAUCCGUUUAGUCCAAAUUUUUAUGAGGCUGUGUCCAUUUAUAAAUGUUAUUUUUUGUAACAUGUUGGUUUAGUUGCGUUGAAAUUUAAACGAAAGUGAAUAUAUGACAUGCUGUAUACAAAUUUUUUAAAAUAUGAAGUGCUUUAUAAUGUGAAAAUUCUAAUAUUUUUCUGUUAGUAUGUUUAAAUGUUUAAUCUAGAAUUUUUGUGUAAUUUCCGAAAAUUUUUUAAGCAACAACGAAUUAAACAAAUCACAGCACGAAUAUGAAAGAAAACAGAGUCAUUGACCAUCUUUGUUCUUUGAUUUCAGAUCAGAGUUCGUGAAUUUCACGGCUCGAUCCAAAGGAGUUAAUUGGGUUGUUUUUGGAGAUAACAAAUACGGUGAAGAAUUCAGUCCAGAAAAUGCUGCAUUGGAAUCGACAUUUGGGAGGGCCAUUAAUGUAAAAUUUCUAUGCUUGCAUCCACGAGACAAUUUGAAUAAGCAAGCAAAGUCUUCACAUUCGCUGAUCCUGCUGAUUACAACCGCAUUCAACCCUAUCGAGACCCUAUUCUACUCCUCGGACUUACCGUACUUAACUUAAUAUAUAAGAAAGACCUAAAAACAUUUUUCUGUUUUUUGUUUAGGAAUUACGUGACAGGUUGUACUAUUGCAUUUCAUGUGUGUUUUCGGUGUGUAAUCCUGGAAUUUUGCUGAUUUUAUUACUAGCUCCGGUCAACAUUUGUUCUAGUUGCAGAUGCAUAUUUCCAUAACACUUUCCCGCCCAGAAGCCGUUCUUUAGUGGACAGUCAGAGGAUCGAAAAUCUGCUCUAUAUGUAACGUGCCUAAUAUCGGGAGUCGGCCACCGAUGUCAAUCUACAACGCAGUUUCUUAAUUGGAGCUGGUGUUUCCUGCGAUGUGUUGUUGCGGAUUUGUUACACUAUCAUGUUCAAAAAGGUAAAAUUUUGUCCGCCAGGUGGUGGAGUGCCUGUUCGUGAGUGACGAAGCCGCCAUUUGCUUUUGAGACAGCGUACGGGAAUAUGUUUCUGCUAAAUGACGGUGUUCUUCGCUUUUACAUUUUAAAAAAUGUUUCCACGCCAUUCGACCAAGUUGAAACGAAAGUGAACAAUUCUAAAGCAUCAUGUCGAAGAUCUUGCCAUUAUCCACGUGAUCGCUGCCAUGAAGGUGUGUCUUUGAGAGGGUCUCUACUAUAUUGCAAGACAAAAAUGUGAAGAAAACAGGAAAUCUGAAAUGGUUGUACUUAAAGGUAAAUCAAGUAGGUUGUCACUUGUUUUCGACAUCAAGAACAAAAUACUAUCUUAUUUCCGUGCUUCCAAAUAAGACAGCUUUUGUGGAAAGUUUGGUCAGUUUCUAAUCAAUCAGUACAGAUAUUCCCCUUCAACUUAAAAAAUUCAAAGAAAAUUUCACAAAGUGAUCUUUGGUCAUCUUCAAUGACUUCUUUUUCUCUUGUAAUCUAAAUUUUAAGUAUAUCAUUGCCUCAACUACAACAUGUUACAACCACUUAUGAUACAGUUGCAAGCUAAAGUGAGCACUCUUCCAAAAUAGUGUUCUUAUAGUUUUGAGGGACUGUUAAGUUUAACUUUAUCCCUUUCAUUAUAUUACAUCACACAAGACAUCUCCUUCUCAAUAUUGAUUUAAUAUUUUCCAUUGUUUUAACGGCAUCUGAGUAUGAGCUGCAGCCAGUUGGUGGAAGUUGUGGAUAUGUUAGCUGUUGCAAUCAGUUUGUGAGGCAUCUCAUGCAGAAACCAAUAAUGAUAAGCAUGUCGGAGAUCUUGCCUUUCUCAACGUGCGGUGCCAUGUCAACAAGAUGUCUCUUUGAUGAGGUCUCUACUAGAUUGCAAAACAAAACUGUGAAGAAAACAGGAAAUCUGAAAUGGAUUCUAUGGUCAGUUUGAUGUUUGAGCUGUUUAUGGUGUUGCUGUUUGGUGUGAAGUGGGUUUGCAGUCAUUUUCCAUUUGAGAGAUGCGCUGAAAUGGAGCUUCGUCAGACUUGCAGUUCAACAUCAUACUUCAAUGUGUUAUUUCCCUAUGUUUGUGUCCGUGCAGUGUUGUGUUGGGCAAAACGAUCAAUGUUGUCUGAUGGCUGUCAGGCAUAUUUAUCUGCUGCAUUUUGUCAAUAUGUCGUCUCUUGCUACCUGUACGUUGAGGUAGUGCUUCAUGAACAGUAUCAUUUAAUUUUUCAGUCGUUAUUGCAGCCCAAGCUGGUGAAAGAUCUUUUUGCAUCAAGUAAAUCUGACUGUUUUUUUUUUGUGUUGUUGGAGUGUUACGAAAGUUGCGUCAUUAUUGUGUUGAAUUGUCAUUGUGACUGCAGUUCACCGUUUAUAAUUUAGGAAGGGAAAAAAACAGAAUUAUGGGGAA